rnacentral:lncRNA from 1 species
AUCCUUGAGCAGGCGCCGGUGGUAACCGGGCAGGUAGCACUAGGUGAGAGUGAAAGCAUCUCCAAUGUGGGGCCCACAAACGGCAAGGCCAAUUUGGGCUGGCCAUAUUUGGCCACUGAGGAGAGGAGUAUAUUAACUUGGAGAGUCUAUUAGAGAGUUCGUUGGAGAAGUUCUAACACUCCAUCUAUUCCUCUUUCAUUCUAAAAAUAAAGGAUAGGAGAUAAAAUUGAGCUUCUAUCAUCUAUCUCAUCUUUUAUUUUUAGAUGUCAUUCAUAUUAGAGAAACUCUAUAUUUAAAUGUUCUCUCUCCAUCCUCCAAAGAAAUCUGCUGGAGUACGAAGUAUGAAACUGUUUUAAAUUAUCA